CAAACUGAACAGUUCAUCCGGCUUACCGGCCCGCUAAUUGGUAAUCGGUGCCUACCGGUAAUACCGAUACACCAGUUUUUGAUUUAAAAUUUGGAAAAACUUAUAAAUUUUGAAAACUUUUUAUGCCAACUUUUGUAUAGAUACUAUGAAUUAUUCAUGAAAGUUACUUUACAUGCAAUACACCACUUAUAAGUUGUCGUCUAGAAGUUCAGAAUUUUUAAAAAUAACUCAUCCUUUCUAUAUUGUACAAGCGAUGUUUUAUGCGCUAGCCGAAACAAAUACUAAUUUGAACUGCAUGCACCCCCAAUAAAAAUCUAAAAACUAUAUAACAUUUUUUGAGCUCAUAUGACCCAUUUAUUUUUUUUUUGUCAUGAAGACAAAUAAAAAAAUCAAUUGAUUUGCAUGAAUAAUUUCACCUUCUAUUGUAUCUUCGAUGUUAUUUGUGAACUGUGAAAUCGUGACAUGAAAAUAUUUGAACAAUGAAACUGUACCAUGUAAUACAUUUGAACCUUUAAAUAUUGUUAUUGGGCUUGUGAUCACAUUUAUGCAUUUUUUGUUUAAAUUUUAUGACAUCAAUGUGCUUUAGGGUGUGUUUGGUUUGACUUUUGGCUUUGGCUUUUGCCCCCUAAAAGCCAAAAGCCAACCAAAAGGCUGGAUCCAGGAAGCAGCUUUUUCUAAAAGCCGACUUUCUUGUAGUGCAAAUCUGAAAGCACCCCUGGACCUGCUUUUAGUGACUUUUCGGAUGGAACUGUGAAAACAUAUAUCGAAGAAUUUUUAACGACUUUUAGUGGUUUCCACCGAACGGUUUUUAGCUUUUUAACAUCUUACAGCCUACAACAGCUUUUUCCACAACUCACAGCCCACAACAACUUUUUUCACAGCCACAACCCAACCAAACAGACCCUUAUUUG
rnacentral:lncRNA from 7 species